rnacentral:rRNA from 1 species
GCAUAACGCGAAGAACCUUACCUACCCUUGACAUGUCAGAGAUCCCUGAGAGAUUGGGGAGUGCCGCAAGGAAUCUGAACACAGGUGCUGCAUGGCUGUCGUCAGCUCGUGUCGUGAGAUGUUGGGUUAAGUCCCGCAACGAGCGCAACCCUUGUCGUUAAUUGCCAUCAUUUGGUUGGGCACUUUAACGAGACUGCCGGUGACAAACCGGAGGAAGGUGGGGAUGACGUCAAGUCCUCAUGGCCCUUAUGGGUAGGGCUUCACACGUCAUACAAUGGUCGGUACAGAGGGUUGCGAAGCCGCGAGGUGGAGCCAAUCCCAGAAAGCCGAUCGUAGUCCGGAUUGGAGGCUGCAACUCGCCUACAUGAAGUCGGAAUCGCUAGUAAUCGCGGAUCAGCAUGUCGCGGUGAAUACGUUCCCGGGUCUUGUACACACCG